rnacentral:rRNA from 1 species
GAUUGUAGGCUGCAACUCGCCUACAUGAAGUCGGAAUUGCUAGUAAUCGCGGAUCAGCAUGCCGCGGUGAAUACGUUCCCGGGCCCUUGUACACACCGCCCGUCACACCAUGGGAGUCGGUAACACCCGAAGCCUGUAGUCUAACCGCAAGGGGGACGCAGUCGAAGGUGGGAUUGAUGACUGGGGUGAAGUCGUAACAAGGUACC